UGAUAUGAUGCGGUUUUGUACGGA
rnacentral:siRNA from 1 species